UUUGGACAUUAAAGAUGAUAGAAAGGAUAUGAUCAGAAAAGGAAAAUGAUUUUGUCGUUUGAUUGCGAUGAGUUAUGUUUGCUUAGUUUUGCAUUAAUGUACUUCACUGAAACCUGGCUUUUUUUUUUUUUUUUUUUCGAAAUUCUGCAGAAAAUAGUUCUAACCAGGCAGAGUUUUUAAAGCUCUGCAAGAGAAUUGAGUACACGAUUCAGGCUUGGUAUCUUCUACAAUUCGAGGAUUUGAUGAUUGGGUAUCAAGGUGGGCUUUGCUUAAAAAUUAGGAUCAAGAAGGUUGGUAUGCGGAGAUAAUAAUAAAGGCAUACGGAGAAAGCUUGCCUCGACCACACUGCUGGCUUAGUUGCUGUUCGUAAAUAGUACUAUUGUAUCUAGUAGUUGGUGACUUAUUUUGGUAACCUCCUUGAUUGUACAAGAUAGACAAUAUUACUUGCUAGAUUGAGGUUACUUUUGGUUAGGAUUGCUGGAUUUGAUCAUAUCUGGAUAUGGAUAUGUACUUUUGGAAAUGUUUUGGAUUGGCAAUGUAAGAACAGAUGGCAUUGAUAUAUGACAAUGUUAUAUUU